CCCUUAGAUGUCCUGGGCCGCACGCGCGCUACACUGACAUGUUCAACAAGCCUCCUAGUUCGACAGGAUUUGGGAAAUCUUUGAACGUAUGUCGUGAUAGGGAUAGAUCAUUGCAAUUAUUGAUCUUGAACGAGGAAUUCCUAGUAAACGCGAGUCAUCAGCUCGCAUUGAUUACGUCCCUGCCCUUUGUACACACCGCCCGUCGCACCUACCGAUUGAAUGAUUCGGUAAAAAUUCCGGACCGUGGCUUUGCGGACUUCACUGGACGCACUGCUGUGGGAAGUUAUUUAAACCUCAUCAUUUAGAGGAAGGUGAAGUCGUAACA
rnacentral:rRNA from 1 species